rnacentral:tRNA from 1 species
GCGGCAGUAGCUCAGCUGGUAGAGCGCAACCUUGCCAAGGUUGAGGUCGCGGGUUCGAAUCCCGUCUGCCGCUCCU